rnacentral:rRNA from 1 species
GCUGUAAACGAUGUCGAUUUGGAGUUUGGGGGCAUGUCCUUGGGCUCGGAGCUAACGCGUUAAAUCGACCGCUGGGGAGUACGGCCGCAAGGUUAAAACUCAAAUGAAUUGACGGGGGCCCGCACAAGCGGUGGAGCAUGUGGUUUAAUUCGAUGCAACGCGAAGAACCUUACCUGGUCUUGACAUCCAUAGAAUCUUUCAGAGAUGAGAGAGUGCCUUCGGGAGCUAUGAGACAGGUGCUGCAUGGCUGUCGUCAGCUCGUGUUGUGAAAUGUCGGGUUAAGUCCCGCAACGAGCGCAACCCUUAUCCUUUGUUGCCAGCGGUUCGGCCGGGAACUCAAAGGAGACUGCCGUUGAUAAAGCGGAGGAAGGUGGGGACGACGUCAAGUCAUCAUGGCCCUUACGACCAGGGCUACACACGUGCUACAAUGGCGUAUACAAAGGGAAGCGAAGGAGCGAUCUGGAGCGGACCUCCUAAAGUACGUCUAAGUCCGGAUUGGAGUCUGCAACUCGACUCCAUGAAGUCGGAAUCGCUAGUAAUCGUGAAUCAGAAUGUCACGGUGAAUACGUUCCCGGGCCUUGUACACACCGCCCGUCACACCAUGGGAGUGGGUUGCACCAGAAGUAGAUAGCUUAACCGAAAGGGGGGCGUUUACCACGGUGUGAUUCAUGACUGGGGUGAAGUCGUAACAAGGUAACCAAGGGCGAAUUCCAG